rnacentral:rRNA from 1 species
UCGAGAAUCAUUCGCAAUGGGCGAAAGCCUGACGGUGCGACGCCGCGUGGAGGAUGAAGGCCCUAGGGUCGUAAACUCCUGUCAUCAGGGAGUAAAUGUUUACGUAGUAACUGACGUAGAUCUUGAUAGUACCUGAAGAGGAAGGGACGGCAAACUUCGUGCCAGCAGCCGCGGUAAUACGAAGGUCCCAAGCGUUGUUCGGAUUUACUGGGCGUAAAGCGUCUGUAGGCGGCGCGGUAAGUCAGAUGUGAAAUCCCGGGGCUCAACCCCGGAACUGCAUCCGAUACUGCCGUGCUUGAGGGUCGGAGGGGAGUCUGGAAUUCUCGGUGUAGCAGUGAAAUGCGUAGAUAUCGAGAGGAACACUAGUGGCGAAGGCGGCCUGCUGGACGGCACCUGACGCUGAAAGACGAAAGCUGGGGGAGCAAACAGGAUUAGAUACCCUGGUAGUCCCAGCCCUAAACGAUGGUCACUAGCUGUGCCUCAUGUUGGUGGGGCGUGGCGACGCUAACGCAUUAAGUGACCCGCCUGGGGAGUACGGCCGCAAGGCUA